rnacentral:rRNA from 1 species
AUGGCAAAAAAACAUGUUCGGGUAAAAGAGAGAGUUGUCAUGUGCUCACAAGCACGCAAGGGCAGUUUCCAUGUAAAAAGAAAGAGUUGCCAUCUUCUUACGUGCACGCUAGGGCAGUUGCCAUGUACCAUGCAAAAAUACAUGGCAACUCGGGUAAAAAGAGUUGCCAUCUACUUACAAGCAAAGCUAGAGGUAGUUGCCAUGUACCUGCAGAAACACAUGGCAACUGCCAGCUUUGGGUGUGGGCUAGGAAACGGGCGUGUGGGCGAAGUGAUAAACGCCCACACACCAGCCCCCUCUGCGUGCAUGAAACUGAUGUGUGAGGCGAAUUGCUAA